UAGGGAAUCUUCGGCAAUGGACGGAAGUCUGACCGAGCAACGCCGCGUGCGUGAAGAAGGUUUUCGGAUCGUAAAGCUCUGUUGUUAGAGAAGAACGUUGGUAGGAGUGGAAAAUCUACCAAGUGACGGUAACUAACCAGAAAGGGACGGCUAACUACGUGCCAGCAGCCGCGGUAAUACGUAGGUCCCGAGCGUUGUCCGGAUUUAUUGGGCGUAAAGCGAGCGCAGGCGGUUCUUUAAGUCUGAAGUUAAAGGCAGUGGCUUAACCAUUGUACGCUUUGGAAACUGGAGGACUUGAGUGAAGAAGGGGAGAGUGGAAUUCCAUGUGUGGCGGUGAAAUGCGUAGAUAUAUGGAGGAACACCGGUGGCGAAAGCAGCACUCUGGUCUGUAACUGACGCUGAGGCUCGAAAGCGUGGGGAGCAAACAGG
rnacentral:rRNA from 1 species